AUGCACCCUCCCCAUUCCACAGUCACUUUCCAGGUCCAGGUGUCCAAAGCAUUAUCUUUAUCUUGUAAUGGCAAAGUACAUUUAAAUACUGGUCUUUACUUUUUCAGAAAGAAGACAGAAAUAGCUGACUCCCUCAUACUCUUCUGUAGUACAAAGGAUUUGGGGAAUGGGAACAGCCCUUUGGGAGGAAGGCAGCAGAGAAGUUUCAAAGAGAAGAGAAAUUACGGAAGUCCUGGGACACUCAGCCUCGUGAAAAGCUCAAGAGAUUUACUCAUGGCCCAAGUGCACCCGAAAGAAUUGCUUUCAAGGGACACCACAGCUGAAGACUGA
rnacentral:lncRNA from 1 species